rnacentral:rRNA from 1 species
GAUGAACGCUGGCGGCGUGCCUAAUACAUGCAAGUCGAGCGAACGGACGAGAAGCUUGCUUCUCUGAUGUUAGCGGCGGACGGGUGAGUAACACGUGGAUAACCUACCUAUAAGACUGGGAUAACUUCGGGAAACCGGAGCUAAUACCGGAUAAUAUUUUGAACCGCAUGGUUCAAAAGUGAAAGACGGUCUUGCUGUCACUUAUAGAUGAAUCUGCGCUGCAUUAGCUAGUUGGUAAGGUAACGGCUUACCAAGGCAACGAUGCAUAGCCGACCUGAGAGGGUGAUCGGCCGCACUGGAACUGAGACACGGUCCAGACUCCUACGGGAGGCAGCAGUAGGGAAUCUUCCGCAAUGGGCGAAAGCCUGACGGAGCAACGCCGCGUGAGUGAUGAAGGUCUUCGGAUCGUAAAACUCUGUUAUUAGGGAAGAACAUAUGUGUAAGUAACUGUGCACAUCUUGACGGUACCUAAUCAGAAAGCCACGGCUAACUACGUGCCAGCAGCCGCGGUAAUACGUAGGUGGCAAGCGUUAUCCGGAAUUAUUGGGCGUAAAGCGCGCGUAGGCGGUUUUUUAAGUCUGAUGUGAAAGCCCACGGCUCAACCGUGGAGGGUCAUUGGAAACUGGAAAACUUGAGUGCAGAAGAGGAAAGUGGAAUUCCAUGUGUAGCGGUGAAAUGCGCAGAGAUAUGGAGGAACACCAGUGGCGAAGGCGACUUUCUGGUCUGUAACUGACGCUGAUGUGCGAAAGCGUGGGGAUCAAACAGGAUUAGAUACCCUGGUAGUCCACGCCGUAAACGAUGAGUGCUAAGUGUUAGGGGGUUUCCGCCCCUUAGUGCUGCAGCUAACGCAUUAAGCACUCCGCCUGGGGAGUACGACCGCAAGGUUGAAACUCAAAGGAAUUGACGGGGACCCGCACAAGCGGUGGAGCAUGUGGUUUAAUUCGAAGCAACGCGAAGAACCUUACCAAAUCUUGACAUCCUUUGACAACUCUAGAGAUAGAGCUUUCCCCUUCGGGGGACAAAGUGACAGGUGGUGCAUGGUUGUCGUCAGCUCGUGUCGUGAGAUGUUGGGUUAAGUCCCGCAACGAGCGCAACCCUUAAGCUUAGUUGCCAUCAUUAAGUUGGGCACUCUAAGUUGACUGCCGGUGACAAACCGGAGGAAGGUGGGGAUGACGUCAAAUCAUCAUGCCCCUUAUGAUUUGGGCUACACACGUGCUACAAUGGACAAUACAAAGGGCAGCGAAACCGUGAGGUCAAGCAAAUCCCAUAAAGUUGUUCUCAGUUCGGAUUGUAGUCUGCAACUCGACUACAUGAAGCUGGAAUCGCUAGUAAUCGUAGAUCAGCAUGCUACGGUGAAUACGUUCCCGGGUCU